rnacentral:rRNA from 1 species
UACGAAGGGGGCAAGCGUUGUUCGGAAUUACUGGGCGUAAAGAGCGCGCAGGCGGUCGUUCAAGUCGCGUGUGAAAGCCCCCGGCUCAACUGGGGAGGGUCACGCGAUACUGAUCGACUCGAAGGCAGGAGAGGGAAGUGGAAUUCCCGGUGUAGUGGUGAAAUGCGUAGAUAUCGGGAGGAACACCAGUGGCGAAGGCGACUUCCUGGCCUGUUCUUGACGCUGAGGCGCGAAAGCUAGGGGAGCAAACGGGG